CGCAGCCUCUGCACCCUUACUCAUAUCAUUAACACAUUGCUGGCUUGCAAGGUACAAUCUUUAGUUAUGUCAUUCAAGUCUUCAUAUUACGGUAGAUUUUUCCAACCGUAUUGUUCAAACAAUUGUAUCCGACAAUAUAAUCAUGCAUGGGAUCUCGUCAAACUCUAACGACAUGCUUUUUGACUUAUGAUAACUUUUUUUCUUUUCUUCAGUCAAUCUUAUCAAGUCAUCGUCUACGCUUUUUUCCACCAUCGCCUUCACUUUGAAGAAGCGUGAGUGUAGGUAGUGCUAUAUA